GCUGGGAGGCGGGACCGACCGGGGACCCGGAGGGCGUGGUCCAAAGAAAAGUAAAGUUAAAAAAUAAACCUGGAGUUCGAAGCGGAUAGGGCGCCCCGCAGACCGCGCGGUGCCCGCGAGUCCCGGCGGGCGGGCCCCGGGUCUUGGCGGAUAACCGCCCCCCCUCCCCACCGCGGACCACUUCGGCUUCCAGCCCUCGCCUGUGGGGCUGGGGUGAUGCCAGAUGCGCACGGUGCGGGAGGCGCGGGGCUUCGCGGGACCUCCCCGUGCGUUUCUUGGCCGCAUCCGAAAAAUCUAUAAUCAUCCCUAAAGAAUUGUUUUUAAAAGUAAGGCAGAGAACAGCCAGAUGCAGUUGCAUGCAACUUUGAUGGGCCGCUGGUUGGGACACACCAGGGACAAUUUUGGAGAAGAAACACAGAACGUUCAGAUACGUUUAAAUUUCAAACACACAACGAUAGUUUUUGUUUUUCCUAGGGCAUAUCUGAUUAUAGUGACACCAAAAAAGUGUCAAAUGUAUCUAGACGUCCUGUAUUUUAUCUGCUCACCUCUUCCCGGGGAGAAUCUGGUCACAUGCAGCUUGGACCUCGCAGGCCCGGCCAGGAGAGCCUGGAAGCUGCUUUCCUGAACGAUCCCGAGUACUAUCCGUGCUGCCGGUCCGCGGACCAGAGUUUGAGAAGCGAGAGGGCACAGUGCCUACCCCCCUGUUCGGCGGGAUUCCAGCUACUCCGCCUUUGGAAGGGGGUGUCCGGCCUCUGAGUCGGCGGGGCGGGGCGGGGUGGGGGGCGCAUUCUGUCGCAGAGGUCAGGCCGCGUGAGGUCAACUUCAGCACAGACGCGUUUUACGGAGACCAGGCCCGGCCUGCCUCGCUUGGCUAACUGGGAGGGGCGGGGUGGGGGGAGGAACAGGAAAUCAGAACUGGCUCUGGGUGUAGUUUUCUGGCCCCGGGCUGCCAGCUUUGCCCCAGCUCUCCUCCGCACAAGAGAUGAGUUUAGGCACAGGAACACGGUUUCCGGUUUCAGUGGCUGGAUGUUACCCUCAUUCAGCGGAGGCCAGUCGCGCAGCGGGAGCAGCCCGGGUCACUCCCUGUGCUCCGUCACCUCGUCCCCAUUUCUCAGAAUUGAGUUUUGGGGACUAUUGAAUGCUUCAUGGGCAAAAUUACCUGGGGUCAUGGGAUGAAAUGUGCUUCCCCGCCUCGCACAAAUUUCAAAUGUUGACGUCCCAACUCCCAGGACCUCAGAAUGGGGCUGUGUUUGGAGAUGAAGGUAAAAUGAGGUCACUAGGUGGGUCCUGAUCCCAUAGGACUGGGGUUCUUAUAAGAAGAGGAGAUGAGGACCCAGAGACACGCAGAGGGACGCCCACGUGAGGACACAGGGAGGAGACGGCCGUCCGCGCACCAAGGAGACACCAGCCCUGCUCACAGUUGGUCUCAGAUGCCAGCCUCCGGGACCAGGAGGGACAAAUGUCUGUUGUACAAGCCCGCCAGUCCGUGACACUCUGUUGUAAUGACCCUAUCGGACAAUUACACCCGUGAGUCAAGGCAGCUUUUAUCACAGAGAAAUCCAUAGAGAUAACUUUCAACAUCUGAAACAUCGGGGAAUGUAUACUUCUAAGCAGGUCUGUUCAUGGAAGGGAAUUUUCAAACUUUUCAUAAAUAGUCAACGAAAUGGGAGCAUUGUGCCUAAAUUUUAAGGAUUAUAAGCAGUCAUCCAAAUUUUAUAACACACUCUGGUCUUCAUUAUAUAACAAGAUGACAUUCCCCAAAAGGGAGUAAAAUGUCCCCAAAAGGUGACAUCUGGAUUAGGACAUUCUUUCCUAUUUUUUUUUUUCCCAACGUUCCACAGACGUUCCUGUAAUGAGGACACAGACUUCAGAGCACGCCCUGAAAGAUUUUGCAGGAGACACAGAUUGAGAGAUUUGGAAACCUGGUGGGGUUUUUUUGUUUUGCUUUCUUUUUGUUUGUUUGUUUCUUUUCAUAAAGUGAUGGAUUAGGUUAGAAUUAUCUUAGACCUUGCUGAGGUCUGAGUUUAUCUUAACUCCCUGGAGGGAAGUAUGAAAACACUUAGUAAUUCCUACCCGAGAAAUACAGAUUGUUGUAGUCAGUCACCAGUCCUUAAUCAGUCCAAGGAGGAAGUUUGAAAACAGAAAGAAGAUGUGACGAAAUGAGAAACACAGCCCCUGACCUUGGAGGACCGCGGCUGCGGCGGUAAUUCCUCCUUCACGGGUGACAAAGGCACCCUUGUCCCCCUCCGAGGCGUGUGUGGGGAUCUGGCAAAGCGAAGCCACCGUGGAUCUGGAAGAACCCAUGUAGAGACGAGACUCAGAAACUCUGAAAGUCUCGGGAUGAGGUGGCCACUAGGUUGUCUCAUGAUAAAGCCAGGGUUUUUUGUUUGUUUGUUUUUUUAAAGUUGUUUGGUGCUGGCGAGGAAAGCAGGAGAUUGAAACAAUAUGACAAGAUGUGUCUGUCUGUGUAUGGGUGACUGGGACACUGUGCUGUGCGCUGGGAACGGGCACAAUGUAACUGACUGUACUUCAAUAAAAAGACUAAAUACGUAUAUGUAAAAUAGAUAAACGAGGUCCUAAUAUAUAGCACGGAAAACUAUAUCCAAUAUCCUUUAACAACCUCUAACAAUGCAGCACCCCACGGAGCCUAGUUUGGUGGCCACAGGCAUGCCCCACCCUACAGGGGGUGCAGACUUUACAGGGGAUCAUCGGCAAGGGACUGUGGAAAUCCUCCCGCUUUCCAGCUCCCGCUGCAGGGGCUUUGGGACUGGUACCCAGGUGCGUGAAGGUGUUGGGGGAAAACGGUCCAUUCCAGCAGACUUUGAAAUUGCAAGUCUGCCCGCCAAGGGGGUGCUGAUGGAGUCCCCUCCCCCGGCCCCGAGUGCCAGGCAUCCGACAUAGGGGUAUUUGGAUAAAGCAGAGAAAACCUGGGACUCGUGGGCUCAGAUUGCAUGGAGGAGGGAUGGACAACCGGCACUCAGAAUUGUUAAGAGGAUGUAACGUACUGGGCACUAAACGAGGAGUAACAACGUGGGAGGACCAGGCGGGAGAGCGUACCACAGCGUGUGGUCAUUGCCCAUGUUCAUAAUUACAUAGUCCCAUGUCUGUAAGUAUAUAUUAGCAGUUUAUGUCACAGAAUAUAUACAUGAGUUUAUCUCUAUGAUUAUAUAGGUCUAUACACAUAUCUGUAUGUACAUGUAUCAGGUCUCCCAGGAGGGGUGGAAUUUAAGUAGAUGCAGGGAAGGCGUGACCUUCAGGUGUGUGGGGAGGUGGCGGGGACGGCGUGGCUGGCGUGGCUGGGGGGUGCAGCAGGGCUAGGGUGCGGUCCGGGAGGACCUCGAAAGGAUUUUGCUUCUUACUCCAGGUUGGGUCGCCAGACUGAGUAGAUAAAAAAGCAGGACACCCAGUUAAAUUUGAAUUUCGGACAAACAACAAACUAUUGUUUUAGUGUAAGGAUGCCCCGUGCAAUAUUUGGGAUGUACUUAGACUGAGCACUGAGCUGAAUUUGAAUUUUAGUGUGAGCAUAUUCCAUGCAAUCUUUCGGUUUACUUAUACUCAACGCCUGGAUGAAUUGUAAUCUCAGAUAAACAGUAAACGAUUGUUUUUGUAAAAGUAUGUCCAUAAAAUAUGUGGGACUUACAGGAAAUGCUCAGCUGAAUGAGAAUUUCAGAUAAACACGGAAUCAUUAUUUUAUUCUAAAUAUGUCCCAUCCAAUCUUUGGGGCAUAGUAACACUAAAUGCUGAGUUGAAUUUGAAUUUCAGACAAACCAUGAAUAUUUUUUUUUUUUUAGUGUAAGUCAGUCCCAUUCAAUAUUUGAGACCUGCUUAGUCUAAAAAGUCGUUUGCGAUUGAUCUGAAAUUCCCAUUCAGCCAGCUUCCUUCGUCAUUUUAUUUGGCAGCCCUAACUCUGAGCAAAAUGCAGAGUUACCGUCGAAUUUCGAUUUUAAAAGGGCUCCUCUGACUGCUGAGUUGAGAAUAAGCUUCGAGGACCUACAGCAGUGGUUAGAACCAGCUUUAGAAAACUCUGCGUGUAGCCGGGCUUCACCACAGACCAACUGAAUCUAGUCUCGAGGAAUGGGGACCCAGGCAUAGGUAUUUCUGUCAUUGCCUCAGGGGACUGUGGUGCAUGUUGACAGCUGAGAUUCCCAGCGGAAGGCUGCUGGAGUCAUGCAGAGAGACAUGAUGGGGGUGUCAUGAAUUAAUAAAGGCUGGGGCAGUGAAGCUGUGACACGAUGCGAGACUGUCAUGGUGAGUAUAUGACGUGGAACCUUCCUCUAAACCCACAGAAUGUACGGCACCAGGAGCGGACCAUCAUGUAGACCAAAGAGUGUGGGUCAUGAUGAUGUGUCAAUAUUGAGUCACUCGUUGUGAUAAAUGCAGGAUGUUAAUCAUGGGGAAGCUGGGUGCCGAGCUAGAAAGGGUACAUCAGAACCAUGUGUACGUUCUGUUGAUUUUUACUGUUAACUCUGCUCUAAGGAAUAGUCCACUUAAAAAAAUAAAAAGAGUGAAGUAAAAUCAUGUGCAGCAACAUGGAUGGACCUAGAGAUGAUCAUACUAAGUGAAGUCAG